rnacentral:rRNA from 1 species
AUCGAACGCUGGCGGCAUGCCUAACACAUGCAAGUCGAACGAGUGGCGGACGGGUGAGUAAUGUCUGGGAAACUGCCUGAUGGAGGGGGAUAACUACUGGAAACGGUAGCUAAUACCGCAUACCUGCGAAUGUGCCGUGAUGGGAUUCGCUCGUUGGUGGGGUAAUGGCUCACCUAGGCGACGAUCCCUAGCUGGUCUGAGAGGAUGACCGGCCACACUGGAACUGAGACACGGUCCAGACUCCUACGGGAGGCAGCAGUGGGGAAUAUUGCACAAUGGGCGCAAGCCUGAUGCAGCCAUGCCGCGUGUAUGAAGAAGGCCUUCGGGUUGUAAAGUACUUUCAGCGAGGAGGCGUUACUCGCAGAAGAAGCACCGGCUAACUCCGUGCCAGCAGCCGCGGUAAUUC